UACAGAGGUCCCAAGCGUUGUUCGGAUUCAUUGGGCGUAAAGGGUGCGUAGGCGGCGCGGUAAGUCGGGUGUGAAAUCUCGGGGCUUAACUCCGAAACUGCAUUCGAUACUGCCGUGCUUGAGGACUGGAGAGGAGACUGGAAUUUACGGUGUAGCGGUGAAAUGCGUAGAUAUCGAGAGGAACACCUGCGGCGAAGGCGGGUUGCUGGGCCGACACUGACGCUGAUGCGCGAAAGCCAGGGGAGCGAACGGG
rnacentral:rRNA from 1 species